GAUGAACGCUAGCGGCAGGCUUAACACAUGCAAGUCGAGGGGUAGGAUUCUUCGGAAUCUGAGACCGGCGCACGGGUGCGUAACGCGUAUGCAAUCUGCCUUUCACAGAGGGAUAGCCCAGAGAAGUUUGGAUUAAUACCUCAUAGCAUAAUCAAGCCGCAUGGUUUGGUUAUUAAAGUCACAACGGUGAAAGAUGAGCAUGCGUCCCAUUAGCUAGUUGGUAAGGUAACGGCUUACCAAGGCGACGAUGGGUAGGGGUCCUGAGAGGGAGAUCCCCCACACUGGUACUGGUACACGGACCAGACUCCUACGGGAGGCAGCAGUGAGGAAUAUUGGUCAAUGGGCGCAAGCCUGAACCAGCCAGGCCGCGUGCAGGAUGACGGUCCUAUGGAUUGUAAACUGCUUUUGUACGGGAAGAAACACUCCUUCGUGAAGGAGCUUGACGGUACCGUAAGAAUAAGGAUCGGCUAACUCCGUGCCAGCCGCCGCAGUAACAC
rnacentral:rRNA from 1 species